UACGAAGGGGGCGAGCGUUGUUCGGAUUUACUGGGCGUAAAGAGCGUGUAGGCGGCCAGACAGGUCCGUUGUGAAAACUCGAGGCUCAACCUCGAGAUGUCGAUGGAAACCGUCUGGCUAGAGUCCGGAAGAGGAGUGUGGAAUUCCUGGUGUAGCGGUGAAAUGCGCAGAUAUCAGGAAGAACACCUAUGGCGAAGGCAGCACUCUGGGACGGUACUGACGCUGAGACGCGAAAGCGUGGGGAGCGAACAGG
rnacentral:rRNA from 1 species